GAGCACAAGCUAGGAGGAUUUGGAGUCCUGAGCCACCAAAAAGAUCUGUGGUUGCGUAUCAGGUACUCCCACCAAAAUUAGAGGUUAAUGC